CCUCCUGCCAAUGCCGCAUCUCUCGGAUGAAUGUUGUUGUUGACAAGAUGAAGAGCAUUGUUCUGCGUACAAUUGUAAUGGGUCUGUUGGUGCCGUUGCGUUCGUGGGUUUCGGCUCACGAUUUGUCUGGUACGUCGGGAAAAAAGUCAAUUAUGAAUGUAAUUGAUCUGACUACCGUGCGUAGCGGUAUUCAAAUGUGUGUUUGAUGGACUUUAUUUGCAAUCGGCGCUCAAUGUGUUUUCUUUUAUCGGUGGCGUCAAUGUUAGCCUCCCAUCCGACCCGUCUUGAAACACGGACCAAGGAGUUCAGUAGGCACGCGAGUCGUUGACGUUUUCCAUUGAACAGUCGAAGGCGAAAUGAAAGUGUUCAUGAAAAUGAACAGUACUUUUUUAUGGAGUGCUGUUCGCUUUCAACAUGAUCGUCCUUGUUUGUGCUUAAUUGUGCAAAAUUGAUGUAUGGGGACGCGCAGUGUGGUGCCGUUGAAUAGUCGCACUGUUCUUUCUUUCUCUUCGGGGUUGGAGGAACAAUUGUCGAUCAGUCGGUUUCGGAGCGUGCACACUGGUACCCGAAAGAUGGUGAACUAUGCUUGAGCAGAAUGAAGCCAGAGGAAACUCUGGUGGAAGUUCGUAGCGGUGUUGACGUGCAAAUCACUCGUCUGACUUGAGUGUAGGGGCGAAAGACUAAUCGAACCAUCUAGUUGCUGGUUCCUUCCGAAGUUUCCCUCAGGAUAGCUGGCAUUUGUUUGUAACAAUUUUAUCCGGUAGAGCGAAUGAUUAGAGGUGUUGGGAACGCAAUGUUCUCAGCCUAUUCUCAAACUUCGAAUGGGUAAGCAAGGCGUUUUGCUUUGAUUUUACGAUGAAAUCGCCCAAUUAGAAUGUAUAAAUGCCUAGUGGGCCAAUUUUGGUAAGCAGAACUGGCGAUGUGGAAUGAACCAAAAGUCAGGUUAAGGUGCCAGACAUUGGCGCUCAUGAAAUACCAGAAAAGGUGUUGGUCGAUAUAGACAGCAGGACGGUGGCCAUGGAAGUUGGAAUCCGCCAAGGAGUGUGUAACAACUCACCUGCCGAAUCGACUAGCCCUGAAAAUGGAUAGCGUUUGAGCGCCAGGCCCAUACCUGACCGUCUCAAUUACGCACUUUUUUUUCGGAAAAGGUGUAAUGAACGUUGAGACGGGUAGGAAGGUCGCGACAGUGUUGCUUUGAAGAGUUUUGAGCGUGAGCUCGCUCGGAGCCGCUGUUGGUGCAGAUCUUGGUGGUAGUAGCAAAUAUUCAAGUGAGAACCUUGAAGGCUGAAGUGGAGCAAGGUUCCAUGUGAACAGCAGUUGGACAUGGGUCAGUCGAUCCUAAGAAAACGGCGAAAGCUUGUUCGAAUUUGCGACAUGAAUUGUAAGACUGUGUGAAUUGUGUUGUGUGUGCAGUUGUCGUAUGUUUUCGAAAGGGAAUCCGGUUGAUAUUCCGGAACCGAGUAACGGAGACAAAGAGUAGCGCUUUAAUCUCUCUGUGGGGUUGGCGUUCAACUCGAUCGCGCGGUAACGCAAGCGAACUCGGAAAAUGACCGUCGUGAGUUUCGAAAAGAGUUUUCUUUUCUUUUUAAGGGACGCAUUCCCUGGAACCGGGUUGUCCGGAGAUAGGGAUUCUGGUAUCCAUAAAACGCCGACUUUUUCACGGUGUUCGGAGCGCUCUCGUCGGUACGUGAAAAUCCGAGCGACGCCUGGUAAAUCUCGUACUUGGUCGUACUGAUAUCCGCAGCAGGUCUCCAAGGUGAAUAGCCUCUGGCCGAUAGAAUAAUGUAGGUAAGGGAAGUCGGCAAAACGGAUCCGUAACUUCGGAACAAGGAUUGGCUCUAAGGGCUGGGCCGAUCGGGCUGAGGUUUCAAGCGUGCAGUGUAUGCUUGGCUGAGUUGUGUUGAGGACUUGUUCACUUGCCGCCGUUUGUUCGGUUGGUCUAGUGUAUUCGAGUCUGAAGCAGAGCUGGCCGACAGACCGGCACGUGCAGAACCUGAGCUGCGCGGCUGUCCGUUUACGUGUACAGACCGUUUCGGUCGGCAUUCAACAGCCAACUUAGAACUGGCACGGACACAAGGAAUCUGACUGUAUAAUUAAAACAAAGCAUUGCGAUGGCCGAUGAUCGGUGAUGACGCAAUGUGAUUUCUGCCCAGUGCUCUGAAUGUCAAAGGGGAGAAAUUCAAUCAAGCGCGGGUAAACGGCGGGAGUAACUAUGACUCUCUUAAGGUAGCCAAAUGCCUCGUCAUCUAAUUAGUGACGCGUAUGAAUGGAUCAACAAGAUUCCUUCUGUCCCUAUCUACUAUCUAGCGAAACCACAGCCAAGGGAACGGGCUUGGCAAAAUCAGCGGGGAAAGAAGACCCUGUUGAGCUUGACUCUAGUCUGACUCUGUGAAGAGACAUGAAAGGUGUAGCAUAGGUGGGAGAUUGUCAAAUUGCCAUCGUUCGCGCGAUGGUCCGGUGAUCGCCAAUGAAAUACCACUACUUUGAUCGUUUCUUUACUUAUUCGGUAAAGCGAAAAAAUUGUGGCCAAUUUGGCGGUGUUUAUGUCGCUGUUGGUCAUUGUUUUCAUGUUAGAUUGAAGCUUUGUUUACAGCCGUCGCUUUGUGUCGCCAUUUGACGCAUUGUUGUACUGGGUUAUCCCGGUGUGUGGUGUAGUCAGUAUGGAUGAUCGGCGAUAGGUUUGAAGUGAUUCGCUCCGGAAACAGUGUCAGACGGGGAGUUUGACUGGGGCGGUACAUCUGUUAAACGAUAACGCAGGUGUCCUAAGGUAAGCUCAGCGAGGACAGAAACCUCGCUUAGAGUAAACGGGCACAAGCUUACUUGAUUUUGAUUUCCAGUACGAAUAGAAACCGCGAAAGCGUGGCCUAUCGAUCCUUUUGAUUGUGUAGAUUUCAUGCAAGAGGUGUCAGAAAAGUUACCACAGGGAUAACUGGCUUGUGGCAGCCAAGCGUCCAUAGCGACGUUGCUUUUUGAUCCUUCGAUGUCGGCUCUUCCUAUCAUUGCGAAGCAGAAUUCGCCAAGCGUUGGAUUGUUCACCCACCAAUAGGGAACGUGAGCUGGGAUUAGACCGUCGUGAGACAGGUUAGUUUUACCCUACUGAUGACAAGUCGUUGCGAUAGUAAUCCUGCUCAGUACGAGAGGAACCGCGGGAUCAGACAUUUGGUUCAUGCGCUCGGCUGAAAGGCCGGUGGCGCGAAGCUAGCAUCUGCAAGAUUAUGACUGAACGCCUCUAAGUCAGAAUCUUUUCUAGUCAUUGG
rnacentral:rRNA from 1 species